GAUGAACGCUGGCGGCGUGCCUAAUACAUGCAAGUCGAGCGAACGGACGAGAAGCUUGCUUCUCUGAUGUUAGCGGCGGACGGGUGAGUAACACGUGGAUAACCUACCUAUAAGACUGGGAUAACUUCGGGAAACCGGAGCUAAUACCGGAUGAUAUUUUGAACCGCAUGGUUCAAAAGUGAAAGACGGUCUUGCUGUCACUUAUAGAUGGAUCCGCGCUGCAUUAGCUAGUUGGUAAGGUAACGGCUUACCAAGGCAACGAUGCAUAGCCGACCUGAGAGGGUGAUCGGCCACACUGGAACUGAGACACGGUCCAGACUCCUACGGGAGGCAGCAGUAGGGAAUCUUCCGCAAUGGGCGAAAGCCUGACGGAGCAACGCCGCGUGAGUGAUGAAGGUCUUCGGACCGUAAAACUCUGUUAUUAGGGAAGAACAUAUGUGUAAGUAACUGUGCACAUCUUGACGGUACCUAAUCAGAAAUCCACGGCUAACUACGUG
rnacentral:rRNA from 1 species